GUGGGAGUAGUGAACCCCAAAGCUCCGCUCCUCUCCUCUGCCAACCACUCUCCGGAUUUUGUGCGCAGGCGUUGUGGUAACUCUUGAGAAUGGGGCUGUGCCGACGCGCUUGCGCAUUUAUUUUUUUUCUGAGUUUGCUUGGUUUGGGCAGGGUUUUGAUAUCCAAUUUUCUUCCAGCCAGCCCACCUCCUGCCAGUUCUAUUCUGGUGUGACGAGGCUAUCUGGCUUCUAAGCAGUGAUUUAAUAAACGGCUGGCAAUAGCUAAUGUCUAUUGUGCCAAUGCCAUGUGAAAGACAGAAAAUGGAUACAGGAAAGUGCCAAGAAAAGCAAUAAAAGGUGAAGAGUGCAAGGGAAAGAAAGCUGGAGAACCAACAACAGGGGCCUCUCAUGGAGAACUCACUUUAGGGGAACCCUGCACUGAACUACCUUCCUGCAUUGUGUUUCUGUCCUCCGAGCCAGCCCUAAUAGAGGAGUUUCUGGAAUCCUAUUUCAACCUAAGGGACUGAGACGUUCCCUAUCUAAUUGGAGCUGUGCAACUAUAUACCCAUCAGCAUCUUCACUGACCAAUCAGAGCAGUUCCAUUCUGACCGAUCAAGGUGGAUCUGCAAAGACUCUUGUGAAGGUCCAUGUCUGAUGAUGCCCUUGGCCGUGAGCCACCUUUUUGGAUGUUUCAGCAAUCCACUACUGUGGCUCCCUCUGCUUGGCUUGGGUGUUUGACUCAGGACAAAGCUGCACA